AGAAUGAACGCUGGCGGCAGGCUUAACACAUGCAAGUCGAACGGUUGUAGCAAUACAGCCGUGGCGCACGGGUGAGUAACGCGUGGGAACAUACCUUUCAGUUCGGAAUAACAGCGGGAAACUGCUGACAAUACCGAAUAUUCUCUCCGGAGGAAAGAUUUAUCGCUGAAAGAUUGGCCCGCGUCAGAUUAGCUAGUUGGUGGGGUAAUGGCCUACCAAGGCUCCGAUCUGUAGCUGGUCUGAGAGGACGACCAGCCACACUGGAACUGAGACACGGUCCAGACUCCUACGGGAGGCAGCAGUGGGGAAUAUUGGACAAUGGGCGAAAGCCUGAUCCAGCCAUGCCGCGUGAAUGAUGAAGGCCUUAGGGUUGUAAAGUUCUUUGCCAGGGAAGAUAAUGACGGUACCUGGAGAAUAAGCACCGGCUAACUUCGUGCCAGCAGCCGC
rnacentral:rRNA from 1 species